ACCACCUAUACCCACCUCUACUCUACUGGAAUCCACUGAGAAGACUACUGGUGUAUAACCAUGCUGAAGGUUGUGCUUAUUCUGGGAUGUCUCAUGUGCCUGACUCUGGCCUCCACUGCGGACUCGGAGCACAAGCGCAUCGCCCGCUCCAGUGACUCUGAUUCCACAGAGGCAA